rnacentral:rRNA from 1 species
GACGAACGCUGGCGGCGUGCUUAACACAUGCAAGUCGAACGGAAAGGCCCUGCUUUUGUGGGGUGCUCGAGUGGCGAACGGGUGAGUAACACGUGAGUAACCUGCCCUUGACUUUGGGAUAACUUCAGGAAACUGGGGCUAAUACCGGAUAGGAGCUCCUGCUGCAUGGUGGGGGUUGGAAAGUUUCGGCGGUUGGGGAUGGACUCGCGGCUUAUCAGCUUGUUGGUGGGGUAGUGGCUUACCAAGGCUUUGACGGGUAGCCGGCCUGAGAGGGUGACCGGCCACAUUGGGACUGAGGUACGGCCCAGACUCCUACGGGAGGCAGCAGUGGGGAAUAUUGCAGAAUGGGCGGAAGCCUGAUGCAGCAACGCCGCGUGCGGGAUGACGGCCUUCGGGUUGUAAACCGCUUUCGCCUGUGACGAAGAGUGAGUGACGGUAAUGGGUAAAGAAGCACCGGCUAACUACGUG